rnacentral:rRNA from 1 species
GUGGCAAGACGGAAAGACCCCGUGAACCUUUACUAUAGCUUUACACUGAACGUUGAGUUCGUCUGUGUAGGAUAGGUGGGAGGCUAUGAAACUGUGGCGCUAGCUGCAGUGGAGCCAACCUUGAAAUACCACCCUGUCGUGCUUGACGUUCUAACCUAGAUCCGUUAUCCGGAUCAGGGACCGUGUAUGGUGGGUAGUUUGACUGGGGCGGUCUCCUCCUAAAGAGUAACGGAGGAGCACGAAGGUACGCUCAGCGCGGUCGGACAUCGCGCACUGUGUGCAAAGGCAUAAGCGUGCUUGACUGCAAGAUCGACGGAUCAAGCAGGUACGAAAGUAGGUCUUAGUGAUCCGGUGGUUCUGUAUGGAAGGGCCAUCGCUCAACGGAUAAAAGGUACUCCGGGGAUAACAGGCUGAUACCGCCCAAGAGUUCAUAUCGACGGCGGUGUUUGGCACCUCGAUGUCGGCUCAUCACAUCCUGGGGCUGUAGUCGGUCCCAAGGGUAUGGCUGUUCGCCAUUUAAAGUGGUACGCGAGCUGGGUUCAGAACGUCGUGAGACAGUUCGGUCCCUAUCUGCCAUGGGCGUUGGAAGUUUGAGAGGGGCUGCUCCUAGUACGAGAGGACCGGAGUGGACGAACCUCUGGUGUUCCGGUUGUCACGCCAGUGGCAUUGCCGGGUAGCUAUGUUCGGAAGCGAUAACCGCUGAAAGCAUCUAAGCGGGAAGCGCGCCUCAAGAUGAGACUUCCCGGGGCACAAGCCCCCUAAAGGAACCAUAUAGACUAUGUGGUUGAUAGGUCAGGUGUGUAAGUACAGCAAUGUAUUGAGCUAACUGAUACUAAUGAUCCGUGCGGCUUGACCAU